CAGUCGCCGCGGGAAUACGUAGGGUGCGAGCGUUAAUCGGAAUUACUGGGCGUAAAGCGUGCGCAGGCGGUUGUGUAAGACAGGUGUGAAAUCCCCGGGCUUAACCUGGGAACUGCGCUUGUGACUGCACAGCUAGAGUAUGGCAGAGGGGGGUGGAAUUCCACGUGUAGCAGUGAAAUGCGUAGAGAUGUGGAGGAACACCGAUGGCGAAGGCAGCCCCCUGGGCCAAUACUGACGCUCAUGCACGAAAGCGUGGGGAGCAAACAGGAUUAGAUACCCCUGUAGUCCCUGUCUCUUAUAA
rnacentral:rRNA from 1 species